rnacentral:rRNA from 1 species
CCUACGGGGUGCAGCAGUGGGGGAUAUUGCACAAUGGGGGAAACCCUGAUGCAGCGACGCCGCGUGGGUGAAGAAGCGCCUCGGCGCGUAAAGCCCUGUCAGCAGGGAAGAAAAUGACGGUACCUGAAGAAGAAGCCCCGGCUAACUACGUGCCAGCAGCCGCGGUAAUACGUAGGGGGCAAGCGGUAUCCGGAUUUACUGGGUGUAAAGGGGGCGCAGACGGCGAUGCAAGCCAGGAGUGAAAGCCCGGGGCCCAACCCCGGGACUGCUCUUGGAACUGCGGGGCUAGAGUGCAGGAGGGGCAGGCGGAAUUCCUGGUGUAGCGGUGAAAUGCGUAGAUAUCAGGAGGAACACCGGUGGCGAAGGCGGCCUGCUGGACUGCAACUGACGUUGAGGCCCGAAAGCGUGGGGAGCAAACAGGAUUAGAUACCCGAGUAGUC